UGUGUAUUGUGCUUAAAUUAUGGAUUGUAUUCAUCAUUUCGGUCCAUAUAAAUAAUUGUAUGGCACCUACCUACCUACCUAUAUAUCGCAGUACCGCGAACUGACGACCCUUACAAAUAUCCCAAUUUAACCCUUACCCGUGUCAAUUUACCCCGAAUGCGGGGUAAAUUGGGAUGGCCAUUAUUUUUCCGAUUAUUUCUUUAAAUUGAAUAAUUAAAAUAAUGUAACGGUUUUUAUCACCUAGGUACGUUCAAGACUCAACUUAUUUUUUUGGUUGAGCAGUGAUUAUUUAAUUGGAACUAUUUUAAAAUUCAAUCUGAAGUUCGAUUUUGUCCCUAUUUACCCCAUUUUACGGUACUGCAUUUGAAUUUGAAUUAUAUUCUUUUACUUUUGAUGUGCGGUGUCAUUCUGAAUUAUAUUUUCUCAUAAACAAGUAAAAACAAUAUUUUCAACUAUUAGGGUAAACCAUACUAUUGUUGGCACCCCCCCAGUGAUUGGCACUCUGAUUUAAGAAUUCAGAUACUAAGAGACAAUUCCUGUUUAUUUACUGUUGCAAUACUUUAUUUGGCAGAAUAUCUAAUAAUCUCUAGUGGCAACACUGUUGUCAGCCAUCUUUCUUUCAGAGCUGUUUGUGAGAUUUUAUGGAAAUCAAGUCGUCGUGAUCGUGUUGUUUUUUUAUAAAAAAGUUAAGUACUGGUGGAUAGAAGUGCACGUGAAAAUUUGAUUUUUGGAUGAUUAAACGAGCGGUUAAUGGGGAUCUCACAACAUGAAUGCCGCCACCCACCUUGUGACUUAAGGUAUUCAACGCCUGCCCCAUCCUUCACAUCGGAACGCAUUACAGCUUCCCGGCAGAAAUAAGCGGUAGGUACAACCUAGCAGUACUGGCUCUACUUAUUCGCUAGUUGCCCAAGGCGCUAUUCCAGAUAAGCUCGGAAAGGUAUGUGAGGUCACGGGCUCAACCUGGGAGAAUUUGCUAACACUAGCCCUAGCAAGAGCAGUGUUUCGCAGAAUCCACGACCAGAUCGGAAUCGCUAACUACUGAGAAGAUCCAGCUCAGAGAAACUCAGUGGGUUGUGUUUAUGGUUUGCGGGCUCUCAAGACGUCCUAGCGCCAGUAAUUACUCACAUUAUAAUUUUUGCAGGUUUGAUAUUUAUUACACGAUGUUAUUACUUCACCGUGGAAGUAAUUCCUGAACAUUUGCUUAGUAAGUAUUUCAUUACUAAAAUUGGUUCCUGAAUCCCGCAGGGAUUCGAACAUCGGCUCAGUCGCAUCGCACGAUACGCAUGUACCUACCGGGAGUCUUAUCCCUUAGGCCACGAUGACUACUGUACAUAUGUAUAAGGGCUUCAACAACAACGGAACAUCCAUCUAAAACGAGAUGGUCCGUAAACGCAUUCGUCUAGAUUUUCGAGUCUAGAUCAAAAAACUGAUACCCGAAAAACUAUAUUCGAGGGUAUUUUACUGAGAAUCGGUUUUUCUAAAAAUAAACCUUAUUCUAUCUCUGGAAACUGUUUAUUAAAAUCGAAAUAAAAGUAACUUUAAUGUCAAAACGAAAUGAUUAAGGUUAAUGUUUGAGAUUAAUGUUUGUUUAUGGAACAGUAUCAGAUUUGUUUUCAUCCAGUGCUUUGACUUCAUCGGCGAGUUGCUUUAGUUGUUCUAUAUUAAAAAAAAGCUCGGCAUGGUACAUUGCUGCAGUUUCGACUUCUAUUUCCGCUGAUGUAACUGAAAUAAUUUUUACUAACUAUUAGCGUGUGACAGAAUUAAAUUAUACAAAAUGAAUGAAUAAUAAUGGACAACAAUACUUAAAUAGUUCGUAUCCAAGAAAAGAAAUACUAUUAAAAUUAUAUUAGGUCUAUUUUACUUUUGAGGUAUUUUGAUUGAUUUGAUUAGAAAAAACUAUUAAGAAACUAUAAAAAACAAUAUGUAAUAUUAAAUAAAAUGUGUAAUAAAUAUUAAAUGCGAAUGAGCAA